GAAGCCGUCAAUACUGCAGUUUCCGAAGA
rnacentral:sRNA from 1 species